rnacentral:rRNA from 1 species
UACAGAGGUCUCAAGCGUUGUUCGGAUUUAUUGGGCGUAAAGAGCUCGUAGGCGGUUUGUCGCGUCUGCUGUGAAAACUCGGGGCUCAACUCCGGGCCUGCAGUGGGUACGGGCAGACUAGAGUGCGGUAGGGGAGAGUGGAAUUCCUGGUGUAGCGGUGAAAUGCGCAGAUAUCAGGAGGAACACCGGUGGCGAAGGCGGGUCUCUGGGCCGUAACUGACGCUGAGGAGCGAAAGCGUGGGGAGCAAACAGG